rnacentral:rRNA from 1 species
UACGAAGGUCCCAAGCGUUAUCCGGAUUUAUUGGGUUUAAAGGGUGCGUAGGCGGCGCGGUAAGUCGGGUGUGAAAUCUCGGGGCUUAACUCCGAAACUGCAUUCGAUACUGCCGUGCUUGAGGACUGGAGAGGAGACUGGAAUUUACGGUGUAGCGGUGAAAUGCGUAGAUAUCGUAAGGAAGACCAGUGGCGAAGGCGGGUCUCUGGACAGUUCCUGACGCUGAGGCACGAAGGUCAGGGGAGCAAACGGG